rnacentral:rRNA from 1 species
UGGCGGACGGGUGAGUAAUGUCUGGGAAACUGCCUGAUGGAGGGGGAUAACUACUGGAAACGGUAGCUAAUACCGCAUAACGUCGCAAGACCAAAGAGGGGGACCUUAGGGCCUCUUGCCAUCGGAUGUGCCCAGAUGGGAUUAGCUAGUGGGUGGGGUAAAGGCUCACCUAGGCGACGAUCCCUAGCUGGUCUGAGAGGAUGACCAGCCACACUGGAACUGAGACACGGUCCAG